ACCUGGGUGGCUCAGUCGGUUGAGCGUCUGACUUCAGUUCAGGUCAUGAUCUCAUGAUUCGUGGGUUUGAGCCCCAUGUCAGUUU
rnacentral:tRNA from 1 species